CAACACCAAGUUUUGACAUCCCGAAAACAAUGAAAGAAAGAAACCUUUUUUUUGGAGCAUGAAAAAAGGUGACGGCAGGGGCUUGUUAGUUGUCAUUUUGGGGAGUUUGGGUUAAGUCCAAAAAGGGGGCAAACCCCAUUUCUUGGUACCAAGGGGUUAGGAUGGGCACUCUAGGGAGACUGCCAGGGAUAACCGGGAGGAAGGUGGGGAUGAGGUCAAAUCAUCAUGCCCCUUAUGACUUGGGCUACACACGUGUUACAAUGGUGUUAACAAAGGGAAGCGAAGCCGCGAGGCGGAGCAAAUCUCAAAAAAAAAGUCUCAGUUCGGAUUGCAGUCUGCAACUCGCCUGCAUGAAGCUGGAAUCGCUAGUAAUCGCGGAUCAGCUG
rnacentral:rRNA from 1 species